rnacentral:rRNA from 1 species
UACGUAGGUGGCGAGCGUUGUCCGGAAUUACUGGGUGUAAAGGGCGUGUAGGCGGGAAAGCAAGUCAGAUGUGAAAUUCCGAGGCUUAACUUCGGAGCUGCAUCUGAAACUGUUUUUCUUGAGUGCUGGAGAGGAAAGCGGAAUUCCUAGUGUAGCGGUGAAAUGCGUAGAUAUUAGGAGGAACACCAGUGGCGAAGGCGGCUUUCUGGACAGUAACUGACGCUGAGGCGCGAAAGCGUGGGGAGCAAACAGGAUUAGAUACCCUGGUAGUCCACGCUGUAAACGAUGGAUACUAGGUGUAGGAGGUAUCGACCCCUUCUGUGCCGGAGUUAACACAAUAAGUAUCCCACCUGGGGAGUACGGCCGCAAGGUUGAA